GACAAGGUGGCUGAGUGGUGAAGGCGAUAGACUGCUAAUUCAUUGUGCUCUGCACGCGUAGGUUUGAAUCUCACCCUUGUUG
rnacentral:tRNA from 1 species